rnacentral:rRNA from 1 species
GAGUAACUAUGACUCUCUUAACACCGCCUGCCUAGGAGAGAAAAGUCACGGGGGCAGGCACCUCGUGGCUAGUGCUGUGGGACAAACAGGUUGCAACGUCCACGGUGCAAGAUCGUCAAAUUGCGGGAAAGGGGUCACACAGCCGUCUGGUACUAACCUGCUGGGGAAACUCGGUGGGGGCCUUGCACAGGGUAUAGUAAUAAUCCAGCGGACACGGUCCCAACCACGCAGCCAAGUCCUAAGGGUCCUCAAAAAGCCUAUGGAUGCAGUUCACAGACUAAACGGCGGUCGGGGGCUCUAAAGCCUCUUAAGAUAUAGUCGGCCCUUCCCUUAAUGGGGACCUGGAGACGAGGUGAUGCAACACCAAAGCUUCGGGGGACCACGCCUGUAAUGGGUGAGGUCUUGGACACAGCGUAAGGUAGCCAAAUGCCUCGUCAUCGUAAUACAAAGGAAAACAGGGCUUUCUGGGGGGGGCACCUCGGGAAUGCCUUGUAGCGUGAAUCGGGUUGGGGGGAGCCUCGGGGGUCGCACCCUUGAGCGUCUUCUUUUGGCUCAAAAGGCUUAAUUGCACGGAGGAUAGGCUGGGGGUGGGUUCCGUCCCUCCUUGGCCCGCGACCCGACGAGCAGCCAGACUCGCCCUCGUCCCUUGUAACGGGGGGGUGGGGUGUGGGGAAGGCCCAGAGACUAUACUGCUUGAAUAAAGAGAUAGUCCACCUAACAAAGUACCCGAGAACAGCACGAAUGCGUGUGGCUUGCCCUUAAAAAAGGCACUGGUCAAGGCUUCAAAUCAUUGCUCAGUAAACGGGGAAAGAACGGCCGACGUCAGCCAUAUGAGGUGUUAAUUUGUGACGCGCAUGAAUGGAUUAAUGAGAUUCCCACUGUCCCUACCUACUAUCUAGCGAAACCACAGCCAAGGGAACGGGCUUGGCACAAUUAGCGGGGAAAGAAGACCCUGUUGAGCUUGACUCUAGGCAUAGAAGCGAGGUGAUUCUAAAGGUGUAGCAUAGGUGGGAGGGCACAGCCCGACCUUGAAAUACCACCACUUUCGACAUUGCUUUGCUAACGCUGUAACGAAUGAACGGCCCCCUAGUCUCCCGACCGAAAGAAAGGUACUGGGUAAGGUCAUUUUCUAGCAUUUUCCGUGUCAUACGGCGGCUUGGCCCCUCUGGGUGAGUACUUUGGGACCACAAACUGGGCUUCCGGGUCUGGUGCGUGCUGCUCCUGGGGGAACUAGGGAUGGUUGGGUUGUCCUCUGUGGCAAAAAUUGGUACAUAAGCCGUGUAGCGGACCAUCUAUGUUGGGGAGUUUGGCUGGGGCGGAAAACUGCUACACGGCAACGGCAGUCUCCUAAGGUCCACUCAGAGACGACAGAAACGUCUCGUAGAGCAUAAAGGCAAAAGUGGGCUUAACUYRCAUUUUCAGUAGUAAUGUGAAGCAAGAAAUUGMGGCUUAACGAUCCUUAGCGGCGGGUGCCAGCCCACGCUUGAGGUGAGAGAAAAGUUACCACAGGGAUUGAUACUUCGAUACAGUAACUAUGACAACACACGGGGGGGGGGGCGGCGGGAGGCAGGCGAAAGGGGAAUGCAUGAGCGCGGCCUGAGCGUUAAGAUGGGUCGCUACCACUAAACGAUCAAACUGCCAGGUGCUAGUACCCAUUCAAACGCCUUCUCCCCCCCCCCCCUACACGGGUCCCAUAAUAGUCGAUCGAGCAACCGCCGCUCCGGUUAAAAGUGCAGGUUCACCAAGCGGGCAGGUUUAUCCAAAUCGAUCGGCGACGCACCUGGAUGCUGGGACGACUCAUAGGGCGAACCCCGCAAGGGGCGAACCCUUAAAUGACGAUGGUACCAAGCGUUCCCUGGUUACACCGGGGCGUGGAGCGUCUAAAGUCUUCGAGGCUUUCGCGGGUCAUAAUCCUAUCGAUCAGGGUCUAUCAGCAGGCGACAAGGCCAUCCAGCCAACGCGAUACGGAAUCUGACCAGCCUUUCGAGGCAGGCAGCUCCACACAGCGAUGGCGGGUAAAAACGAUGGUUAAGCGCUUCAACGACUGGAAGGGUGUGGGUGUGAGUGGAGGGAGGCCAGGCUGAUCGGAAGGGAGGGAGAUAGGGGCGAACUAGGCUGCUCACGCGGCCUGACCCGCCUCCCCCACUCGUUUGAUCGGCCAGCUUCGCUUCGCACAUGCUUAAGGAACAGUCUCACCCGGCCCUCAGUAAGCGAGCUGGCUUCGGUCUAGGCCCUUUCAUUAGGGCUGAAGCCGGGGUCACGCGAGCGAAAGGGGCUGCCGCGCCACUCAACCCACCACUGCAGGGCUAGAGCGCGGGUGGAAGUUAAAUUUCUUUCAGGCUUCCUGGUAGGCGUAAGGUAAUUCGGAACUGGCUUGUGGCCGCCAAGCGUUCAUAGCGACGUGGC